rnacentral:rRNA from 1 species
ACGGGGUGCAGCAGGCGCGAAACCUUUGCAAUGUGCGCAAGCACGACAAGGUUAAUCCGAGUGAUUCCUGCUAAAGGAAUCUUUUGUUAGUCGUAAAACCACUAUUGAAUAAGGGGUGGGCAAGUUCUGGUGUCAGCCGCCGCGGUAAAACCAGCACCUCAAGUGGUCAGGAUGAUUAUUGGGCCUAAAGCAUCCGUAGCCUGUUUUGUAAGUUUCCGGUUAAAUCCAUUAACUCAACUAAUGGGCUGCCGAAAAUACUGCAAAACUAGGGAGUGGGAGAGGUGGACGGUACUCGGUAGGAAGGGGUAAAAUCCUUUGAUCUAUUGAUGACCACCUGUGGCGAAGGCGGUCUACCAGAACACGUUCGACGGUGAGGGAUGAAAGCUGGGGGAGCAAACCGGAUUAGAUACCCGGGUAGUCCCAGCUGUAAACGAUGCAGACUCGGUGAUGCCCUGGCUUGUGGCCAGUGCAGUGCCGCAGGGAAGCCGUUAAGUUUGCCGCCUGGAAGUACGUACG